rnacentral:rRNA from 1 species
AGCAGCCGCGGUAAUUCCAGCUCCAAUGGCGUAUAUUAAAGUUGUUGCAGUUAAAAAGCUCGUAGUUGAAUUUCGGGAUCAAAGGAUCGGUCAUGCCUUGGUAUGUACUGGUUUUAUUGGUUCUCACCUUCUAAAGAACCAUAAUGUCAUUCAUUUGAUGUUAUGGGGAAUUAGGACUGUUACCUUGAAAAAAUUAGAGUGUUUAAAGCAGGCUUACGCUUGAAUACAUUAGCAUGGAAUAACGAAAUAGGACGUUUGAUUCUAUUUUGUUGGUUUCUAGGAUCGACGUAAUGAUUAAUAGGGAUAGUUGGGGGCAUUAGUAUUCAAUUGUCAGAGGUGAAAUUCUUGGAUUUAUUGAAGACUAACUACUGCGAAAGCAUUUGCCAAGGAUGUUUUCAUUAAUCAAGAACGAAAGUUAGGGGAUCGAAGACGAUCAGAUACCGUCGUAGUCUUAACCAUAAACUAUGCCGACUAGGGAUCGGAUGAUGUUAAAUUAAUGACUCAUUCGGCACCUUACGGG